rnacentral:lncRNA from 10 species
CACCACCAUCACCACUACACACACACCCCCCACACCACACAAACACCACCAUCACCACUACACACACACACCCCACACCACACAAACACCACCAUCACCACUACACACAUUCACCACCAUCACUCACUACAUACACACUCUCAUACACACACUCUCUCCACCACACACACCCCCCCACACCACACACCACCAUCACCACUAUACACACACAUCCCUAUACCUACACACAAUUCUCACAGGACAUGCACUAAACACCACCUAGUACCAUCACUACCAUACCCACACACAUAUUCACCACUGUCACCACAGACACAUACACACUCCCAUACACAAACACACUCCCCACACCACACACACCACAUACACAUAACCUACACACACAGAGGCCCAUGCACACCAUAUCCACACCACCCCACACGCCUCACCCUUGCCCACACACCCCGCAACACACAGACAGAAUAAUGACCUACCUCAAACACUUUGUCUCCU